GUGGAGGAUGGAGCCCACCACCAGGGGAUUUGGGCGACAACGCUCUACACCUUCCCCACAGCCCCGCCCUAAGGCCAGCACAGGGCAGGGCAGGACCAGUGCAAAUCCAGGGUCUGCUGUUGAUGCCACUUCUCUUAAGUGUAGAAGACCUUCAAAGGUCUUGAGGGAAGACUUGAGCCACUUCCACAUCAGCAGGCAACUUCCCAGAACCCAAGGAUCAGGCCCACCCAGGAAAAGAAUGUGUUUUCCUCUUUUGGUGUUAAAGGAGACCCAGAACGUAAAUGAGCCAGAGCCUUCUCUACGAACCAAAGGAUGCUGAGAAACCCCACAAAUGGCCCUGCCCUAAAGCGUCAAGGAAUGAGUGGGCAACCGACAGGCUUCAUUCUGUAGAAUCACAAGAACAAGACAGCCAAUUCGGGAAAAUCCACUAGCACAGAAAUCUCUGUCGCCCCAGCUUCUACUGUGUUCCUCUCCGUCCCCAAUCAAUAAAGCUAGAUGAUAU
rnacentral:lncRNA from 1 species